UCCUGGUGGCUGGUCCACAACAUCUCACUAGACCUGUCAAAAGCACACUUUACCUUUUGCUUAAAUUGGCAGCUCAGAUAUUUUCUAAUCAAGGACACCCUAAUACAACUAAAGUCUGUCUGUUAAGAUUUUACUUCUUUCACGUGUGCAGUAAGCGUUGAACACAAAGUCUAAUGUUCUCUGAACAUUAGUUACCUUGGAACCCGCUCUUAAGAGAGCUUGGGGUUAUAAUUUUAACGAGUGUUACUGCUUCUUCUAGAAGCCUCUCUUCAUCAACACUUGCUAGAAUCUAGGCCAAUCAGGCCCCACUUCUCCACAGAGGUAUCCUUAUCGGAUAUAUCUUCCUCCAUUCUUUAAGCUCAAACUUCACUUUGCAUUUCUCUUAAGGCAGCAACCUCUUUGAACUUGGCUGCGGCAACUUCUUACUAGACACGUCUCCAAAGGCAAGGGAAAUAAAAGCAAAAAAGAACUACUGGGACUUCAUCAAGAUAGAAAACUUUUCCACAGCAAAGGAAACAGUCAACAAAACUAAGAGGAUUCGAUUCACUGGAAGACCUGCUCAAGUCCCCCUCCUUCUGAAAGCCCUUCGGGAUUGCCUCUCUCAACUCCUCGUAGAAUCUGAGUCAAUACCUUCACAUUAGGUACUUGGUAAAACACUGCUGUGCAUUGCUCCCUUCUGCAAGAAUCUCAGUCACAGAGCAAGUACUUGGUUAUUAUUGUUAAAUAGCUACUUUAGAGAUUUUAAAAUGUGAUAAAAUACAACGGUAACAAAAGAGGCACUUCAUUUACUGACCUCUACUACCCGGAGUCUGACUUCCAAUCGGGAAGUGGUUUAAAAGCACUUGUAUUUGGCAUUUCUGAAUGCCUAGUGAAUGAAUGUCUUUGGUUGUCCAAUUAGGGUGAUUUAUACCUGCGAGUCGUUAGUAGGGCCUUUUUGAUAAUAAAGUGAUCUUGUUACCGCGGUCUGGGAACUGAGAUCAUGGAAAAUGUGGUAUGGUUUAUAACUGCGAGCCUUCUUGGCCUCACGGCAAUGUUGGCAGAGGUAUAAAUGCUUUGCUUAUGCUACUCUCUUUAUGGAGUCCAUAAAUACAUUAACUCUACUUACUCUAUGAGUUCUGGGGAAAUACCAGACAGUCUCACCCUUCUGUACAUUCAUUUAAGAAACACACUCUCAUUCAUCCCCUCUCCCUGCACACCCAGGUCACUGAAUUACAGCAAUCAAUGGCUCAGCUUCAAUGUUAAAAUAACAACAGCACCAAUGAUAAGAGUUUUAAAACUACUCAGGGAAAAAAAAAAAUGCUUCAUGCUCCUGAAAGUUAUAUGUAAUUUUUUAAGAUACAGUUUGUGUCAACUGAAGUAGAGUCAAAAGAGAAGAAAAAAUGUUUAUUAGAAUAAGUACCCCCAACUCCCACCUACCCAUCAAUCUGACUCAACAAUAAACCAUACCCAGAAGUCUAAAAAUAAUAAGAAAAAGGUCUCAGAAAUAGUAAAAAUAAUUGACACAUAGUUCAUGGUUUUUAUUGCUAGUGCAAGGCUUAGAGUUGUCCUCAAUAAACAGACCACCAAUGCAGACACGGGCCUGAAGCUGCUACACUCUUUUAGUGGAAGUUCUCCAGUUCCAUCCACAGGGACCAGUGGAGAGAAAAUUAGAUGUUGCCAUGGAUUUGAGAGGUACAGAAGGAUCGUGUAGCACUCACACGUACACAAACAUGAAACUCUUUUCAUCCCAGACACUACAGUGGAUGGUGGAAGACGGAAAUCAGCCGAACACCAGUUAAGCAUAUUGGGGAGAUUUGGAGAAAGUCAAUUUGAGGAGCACUUAUAGAAUCCUUCCCAUGCAUCGACCAUACGAGGAAGCAUUUUACCAGAUUAUUCUGCAAAUGUUCAGCACCUCCAAAAUCUCCUGCAGCUUCUGAAUUUGGAAGCUCUUCCGAGGGGAAAGGCUCCCUACACUGAGCUCUGAGCCACCGUAUGCUGGAACUACGGUUAAAUUCAAGCUUUUCGAUGACUUAGAGAGUGACUUGGGUGAAUAGAAAAGAUCUAGAAAUUUGUUUUUUAAAUGUCGACAUUCAACUUAUUCGAGUUAUGAAGCAUAAGUGCAAAAUCUUAGUUAUUCCAUAAGUAUUGAA